rnacentral:rRNA from 1 species
UACGUAGGGUGCGAGCGUUAAUCGGAAUUACUGGGCGUAAAGCGUGCGCAGGCGGUUCGUUAAGUCAGAUGUGAAAGCCCCGGGCUCAACCUGGGAACUGCAUUUGAAACUGGCGGGCUUGAGUGCGGCAGAGGGGGGUGGAAUUCCACGUGUAGCAGUGAAAUGCGUAGAGAUGUGGAGGAACACCGAUGGCGAAGGCAGCCUGCUGGGCCAGCACUGACGCUCAUGCACGAAAGCGUGGGGAGCAAACAGG